AUUGAACGCUGGCGGCAGGCCUAACACAUGCAAGUCGAACGAGUGGCGGACGGGUGAGUAAUGUCUGGGAAACUGCCCGAUGGAGGGGGAUAAAUACUGGAAACGGUAGCUAAUACCGCAUACCAUCGGAUGUGCCCAGAUGGGAUUAGCUAGUAGGUGGGGUAACGGCUCACCAAGGCGACGAUCCCUAGCUGGUCUGAGAGGAUAACCAGCCAAACUGGAACUGAGACACGGUACAGACUCCUACGGGAGGCAGCAGUGGGGAAUAUUGCACAAUGGGCACAAGCCUGAUGCAGCCAUGCCGCGUGUAUGAAGAAGGCCUUCGGGUUGUAAAGUACUGUCAGCGGGGAGGCGUUACCCGCAGAAGAAGCACCGGCUAACUCCGUGCCAGCAGCCGCGGUAAUUC
rnacentral:rRNA from 1 species